rnacentral:lncRNA from 10 species
AUAAAUAAUGCCUUUGUAUGUCCCUGAAACGUUAAAUAUUUUCAUUUUAUGGUUAAAAAAUGAUGCCGUAGUGAUGCGUGGGAUUUCUUCCUGUCAGUUUCACCAUUUCCCUUUGUCCUUCUAGGGCCCAGUCCUAUGCGGAGAGACUGCGUCUGGGUUUGGCCGUCAUUCACGGGGAAGCUCAGUGCACGGAACUGGACAUGGACGAUGGUCGUCACUCCCCGCCUAUGGUCAAAAAUGCUACUGUGCACCCAGGCCUGGAGUUGCCAUUGAUGAUGGCCAAAGAGAAGCCACCGAUAACUGUAGUUGGAGAUGUUGGAGGCCGCAUCGCAAUCAUCGUGGUAUGGUUAUAUGUCAUCCAUGUGCAGAGGUGGCACUCCUGGCUCUUGGUCAGUAGGUUGUCCACUCUGGGACUGUAUUUCUAGGAACGAUGAUCCGAAUGGAUCCAUGUAUCCUUUCUCACCCAAACUCCCUUGUGCCAAGUGGCAGAAACCUGUAUCCAGGUGAACAUACAUUAAAGUAUAACCUACAGAUAGGAAAUGAGCACAGUACUCCCGUGAG